UGUUGAGGAAGAUAAUGACGGUACUCAACAAGGAAGUGACGGCUAACUACGUGCCAGCAGCCGCGGUAAAACGUAGGUCACAAGCGUUGUCCGGAAUUACUGGGUGUAAAGGGAGCGCAGGCGGGAGAACAAGUUGGAAGUGAAAUCCAUGGGCUCAACCCAUGAACUGCUUUCAAAACUGUUUUUCUUGAGUAGUGCAGAGGUAGGCGGAAUUCCCGGUGUAGCGGUGGAAUGCGUAGAUAUCGGGAGGAACACCAGUGGCGAAGGCGGCCUACUGGGCACCAACUGACGCUGAGGCUCGAAAGUGUGGGUAGCAAACAGGAUUAGAUACCCUGGUAGUCCACACCGUAAACGAUGAUUACUAGGUGUUGGAGGAUUGACCCCUUCAGUGCCGCAGUUAACACAAUAAGUAAUCCACCUGGGGAGUACGACCGCAAGGUUGAAACUCAAAGGAAUUGACGGGGGCCCGCACAAGCAGUGGAGUAUGUGGUUUAAUUCGACGCAACGCGAAGAACCUUACCAAGUCUUGACAUCCCUUGACGAUGCUGGAAACAGUAUUUCUCUUCGGAGCAAGGAGACAGGUGGUGCAUGGUUGUCGUCAGCUCGUGUCGUGAGAUGUUGGGUUAAGUCCCGCMACGAGCGCAACCCUUAUGGUCAGGUACUACGCAAGAGGACUCUGG
rnacentral:rRNA from 1 species